rnacentral:rRNA from 1 species
GCUCAGGAUAAACGCGGGCGGCGUGCCUAACGCGUGCAAGUCGAACGGGUGUCGUCUUCGGACGGCAUUAGUGGCAAACGGGUGAGUAACACGUGGGAAUCUGCCCAAGAGUGGGGAACAACUCCUCGAAAGAGGAGCUAAUACCGCAUACGGUUCGCAAGAACUAAAGCCUUCGGGCGCUUUUGGAGGAGCCUGCGGCUGAUUAGCUAGUUGGUGGGGUAAAGGCCUACCAAGGCGGUGAUCAGUAGCUGGUCUGAGAGGAUGGACAGCCACACUGGGACUGAGAUACGGCCCAGACUCCUACGGGAGGCAGCAGCGAGGAAUUUUCCGCAAUGGGGGCAACCCUGACGGAGCAACGCCGCGUGAACGAAGAAGUCUUUCGGGAUGUAAAGUUCUUUUCUGUGGGAAGAAAGAAAGACGGUACCACAGGAAUAAGCAUCGGCUAACUACGUGCCAGCAGCCGCGGUAAUACGUAGGAUGCAAGCGUUGUCCGGAAUUACUGGGCGUAAAGGGCGAGCAGGUGGCAAGUCAAGUCUGAUGUAAAAUCUCCCGGCUUAACUGGGAGGGGCCAUUGGAAACUGACUAGCUGGAGUGCAGGAGAGGCUAACGGAAUUCCCGGUGUAGUGGUGAAAUGCGUAGAUAUCGGGAGGAACACCAGUGGCGAAGGCGGUUAGCUGGCCUGUAACUGACACUGAGGCGCGAAGGCUAGGGGAGCGAACAGGAUUAGAUACCCUGGUAGUCCUAGCAGUAAACGAUGGAUACUAGGUGUUGGGGGAAAUUGACCCCCUCAGUGCCGCAGCCAACGCAAUAAGUAUCCCGCCUGGGGAGUACGGUC